AAGAGAAGAGACCCAGCACUGAGAAAAUCGUGAUGGCCGUCUCACUGAGAUCUAACAGGGGGGAGGAGAGCAGGGAUAACCUUUGAGAUUUACUUGGAGAAAACUAUUCUGCUACCAACUAAAGCCGGCUUACACUCCAUGAGUCCCAGGAGGAUCAAAGAGGCCAGCCCCGUCAUCGUCAUGGAGAGAAGCAGGAUGCCGCGGCGACCGCACCUGUCUACGGUCAUCCAAAGCAACAGCCAGGCCCCACCGCCUGCACACACAGAGAGCAGAACGAGGAUCUAACGUCAGUGCUGCAAACACACCUGUGAAGCUCUCGUCGUCCCUCACGUCUCUGUUGGAGUUUCUUCUCUCGCUGAAU